rnacentral:snRNA from 1 species
AUCGCUUCUCGGCCUUUUGGCUAAGAUCAAGUGUAGUAUCUGUUCUUAUCAGUUUAAUAUCUGAUACGUCCCCCAUCCGGGGACUACAUAUUAAAUGGAUUA